UACGUAGGGUGCGAGCGUUAAUCGGAAUUACUGGGCGUAAAGCGUGCGCAGGCGGUUUUGUAAGCCAGAUGUGAAAUCCCCGGGCUUAACCUGGGAAUGGCAUUUGGGACUGCAAGGCUGGAGUGCGGCAGAGGAGACUGGAAUUCCUGGUGUAGCAGUGAAAUGCGUAGAUAUGCGGAGGAACACCGAUGGCGAAGGCAAUCCCCUGGGCCUGCACUGACGCUCAUGCACGAAAGCGUGGGGAGCAAACGGG
rnacentral:rRNA from 1 species